rnacentral:rRNA from 1 species
GUGAGGAAUAUUGGUCAAUGGGCGGGAGCCUGAACCAGCCAAGUCGCGUGAAGGAAGAAGGAUCUAUGGUUCGUAAACUUCUUUUGCAGGGGAAUAAAGUGCAGGACGUGUCCUGUUUUGUAUGUACCCUGAGAAUAAGGAUCGGCUAACUCCGUGCCAGCAGCCGCGGUAAUACGGAGGAUCCGAGCGUUAUCCGGAUUUAUUGGGUUUAAAGGGUGCGUAGGUGGUGUGAUAAGUCAGCGGUGAAAGUUUGCAGCUUAACUGUAAAAAUGCCGUUGAAGCUGUCGGACUUGAGUGUAAAUGAGGUAGGCGGAAUGCGUGGUGUAGCGGUGAAAUGCAUAGAUAUCACGCAGAACUCCGAUUGCGAAGGCAGCUUACUAAGCUACAACUGACACUGAAGCACGAAAGCGUGGGGAUCAAACAGGAUUAGAUACCCGAGUAGUCC